CUAAGCUUCAGCUGACCCAAGACCAGCCGCAACAGAGCAGAACAGAGGAGCUACCAGAACACAAACUCUAGACCACCAUCAAGACCUACCAAGAACAACAUCUCCACUUUAUUGACGAGCUGCAAACUCAAGGCCAAACAUCUGAAAAUGCCCGCCUACUUGGACAUUGCGCUUCAGAACAGCACGAACGUGAAAGAUCAGCACAUUAGGUGUAAACUCUCUCUGCUGGAGAGGAAGUGCAGCAGUGGUGUGGAGAAACUGAAGAUAGUCAUUGGAGAACACCUCCAGAACGGGAUCCCUACAUCUCCCAUUUCUCCUAUUCUGGAGAAAACAGUGUCCUUUUUCACUCCGAAGAAGGCCUUGCUGUCACCCACGGGCUAUUCCAAAUAUUCCAGGGACAUACUGCGUCUCUUCCCCACUCCAGAGGAGGACAUUGUACCACUCUGCUUUGAACAAUGAGUGGAGAGAUGCAUGGACGUGGAGGUUCCAGUUCAGAGGUCAAGGACCCUGCUGACAUUUACUGUGGCGUUGGCUUAAUGUAUUCGCUUGAGGCGCUGCUAUAGACUGCAACUGAUUGGCCGACACUGGAUCGCAACUGACAGAGAGACAUAGUUAAAUGAAUAAUAAGUCCAAAAUAGGUUUUGUCUAAAAAUACAGUGAUUUUGUGAAGGUUAGUUUGUGUAUAUUUCAAUUCUGUCGAAAUGAUUUAGAAAUGCAUUUGCAUGCAUUGUUAUUAGCAGUCGUACUGCUCUAUCCUUUCUAUUCGAAAGUCAACCUUGGAUGUGUUUGGUGAUCUCUGAUACCUGGAAGAAAGCAGAGCGGGUUACUCUGAUUGUAAACACUUGUCCUCAGAGAUUGAGUUAGCGAGUGCUGGGCACUCUUGUUACAAUGUAGAAGUAUGGACAAUGUGACCAUUGGUUCAUCCCACUUUCUUAGGGCAUGUGAGUCAAUGUCGAAUUUGAACCGUGCUAGCCUUUACACUAAGAGGAAAUGUUAUGAUUGUUAUUUUAAAAUGUACUGUUUAUUUUGUUUUCAACUACUAAUGAAUGGCUUCACACACAUAUAAAUGUGCCUAAUACACAAAUGUGCCUAAAGUGUUUUUAAAUGUACCUAAAGUGUUUAAUUCAAAGACUAAAUAAAUAUUUUCAGCAUAUA
ensembl:lncRNA